GAUGAACGCUGGCGGCGUGCUUAACACAUGCAAGUCGAACGGGAAAUAUUUCAUUGAGACUUCGGUGGAUUUGAAUUAUGUCUAGGGGCGGACGGGGGAGUAACGCGUGGGUAACCUGCCUUAUACAGGGGGAUAACAGUCAGAAAUGGCUGCUAAUACCGCAUAAGCGCACAGCGCUGCAUGGCUCAGUGUGGAAAACUCCGGUGGUAUAAGAUGGACCCGCGUUGGAGUAGCUAGUUGGUGGGGUAACGGCCCACCAAGGCGACGAUCCAUAGCCGGCCUGAGAGGGUGAACGGCCACAUUGGGACUGAGACACGGCCCAGACUCCUACGGGAAGCAGCAGUGGGGAAUAUUGCACAAUGGGGGAAACCCUGAUGCAGCGACGCCGCGUGAACGAAGAAGUAUCUCGGUAUGUAAACCUCUAUCAGCAGGGAAGAUAGUGACGGUACCUGACUAAGAAGCCCCGGCUAACUACGUG
rnacentral:rRNA from 1 species